rnacentral:rRNA from 1 species
GAUGAACGCUAGCUACAGGCUUAACACAUGCAAGUCGAGGGGUAACGAGAGGAAAGCUUGCUUUCCUUGUCGACGACCGGCGCACGGGUGAGUAACGCGUAUCCAACCUGCCCACAACUAGGGAAUAACCUUGCGAAAGUAAGACUAAUACCCUAUAAUUUCCUCAGAUGUCAUCUGACGAGGAAUAAAGAUUUAUCGGUUGUGGAUGGGGAUGAGUCUGAUGAGCUUGUUGGCGGGGUCACGGGCCACCAAGGCAACGAUCAGUAGGGGUUCUGAGAGGAAGGUCCCCCACAUUGGAACUGAGACACGGUCCAAACUCCUACGGGAGGCAGCAGUGAGGAAUAUUGGUCAAUGGGCGGAAGCCUGAACCAGCCAAGUAGCGUGCAGGAUGACGGCCCUAUGGGUUGUAAACUGCUUUUAUACAGGAAUAAAGUUAGCCACGUGUGGUUAUUUGUAGGUACUGUAUGAAUAAGGACCGGCUAAUUCCGUGCCAGCCGCCGCAGUAA